rnacentral:rRNA from 1 species
UUUUCCGCCAUGGGCGAAAGCCUGACGGAGCAAUACCGCGUGAGGGAGGAAUGCCUUUGGGUUGUAAACCUCUUUUCUCAGGGAAGAAGAUCUGACGGUACCUGAGGAAUAAGUAUCGGCUAACUCCGUGCCAGCAGCCGCGGUAAUACGGAGGAUGCAAGCGUUAUCCGGAAUCAUUGGGCGUAAAGCGUCCGCAGGUGGUUUCCAAAGUCUGCUGUUAAAGACUGGAGCUCAACUCCGGAACGGCGGUGGAAACUUGGAAACUAGAGUUCGGUAGGGGUAGCAGGAAUUCCCAGUGUAGCGGUGAAAUGCGUAGAUAUUGGGAAGAACAUCGGUGGCGAAGGCGUGCUACUGGACCGUAACUGACACUCAGGGACGAAAGCUAGGGGAGCGAAAGGGAUUAGAUACCCCUGUAGUCCUAGCUGUAAACGAUGGAAACUAGGUGUGGCUUGA